rnacentral:rRNA from 1 species
CCUACGGGCGGCAGCAGUGAGGAAUAUUGGUCAAUGGACGAGAGUCUGAACCAGCCAAGUAGCGUGAAGGAUGACUGCCCUAUGGGUUGUAAACUUCUUUUAUAUGGGAAUAAAACGUUCCACGUGUGGGAUUUUGUAUGUACCAUAUGAAUAAGGAUCGGCUAACUCCGUGCCAGCAGCCGCGGUAAUACGGAGGAUCCGAGCGUUAUCCGGAUUUAUUGGGUUUAAAGGGAGCGUAGGUGGAUUGUUAAGUCAGUUGUGAAAGUUUGCGGCUCAACCGUAAAAUUGCAGUUGAAACUGGCAGUCUUGAGUACAGUAGAGGAGGGCGGAAUUCGAGGUGUAGCGGUGAAAUGCUUAGAUAUAACGAAGAACUCCGAUUGCGAAGGCAGUUCACUGGACUGCAACUGACACUGAGGCUCGAAAGUGUGGGUAUCAAACAGGAUUAGAUACCCGAGUAGUC